UAUAUACCCCCUCCGUUCCAAAAUUCUUAUCUUAAAUUUAUCUAAAUACGGAUGUAUCAAGUCAAGUUUGAGUGCUAGAUACAUCUAUAUCUAGCAAAUCUAAAAUAAGAAUUUUGAGACGGAGGGAGUAUAAU
rfam:Triticum aestivum genome assembly, contig: Triticum_aestivum_CS42_TGACv1_scaffold_577966_7BL